UACAGAGGUCUCAACCGUUGUUCGGAUUCAUUGGGCGUAAAGGGUGCGUAGGCGGUCGCGCAAGUCGGAUGUGAAAUCUCAGGGCUCAACCCUGAAACUGCAUUCGAUACUGCGUGGCUAGAGUGCUGGAGGGAGACUGGAAUUUACGGUGUAGCAGUGAAAUGCGUAGAUAUCGUAAGGAAGACCAGUGGCGAAGGCGAGUCUCUGGACAGCAACUGACGCUGAGGCACGAAGGCCAGGGGAGCAAACGGG
rnacentral:rRNA from 1 species